CCCUGACAGCUACAUUGGGUAGCUGACACUAGCCACGACAGGAGAUCAUAAUG
rnacentral:sRNA from 12 species